UUGCUAUCUGCAAUAUACAAGAUUCGAACCUGCAGCAGGUUCGAGUCGAACGAAGUGAGACAACGGAGCCGCUUGCGGCGACGACCCGGAGGGCGAGCGAAGCGAGUCAUCCUGCACGACCCACCA
rnacentral:sRNA from 1 species